GGAUAUAAUGACAUAGCUACAUUUCCACCCAAUGAACGUCUAGAGUAUAUUCAGGAUUUAAAUGAUGUAAUACGUGGCUGUUCAUUCGUUGUCCAUGGUAAACAUCCCGAGGAUUGUGACUUGUCAUAUUUCAAGAAGUCAAGUGUUUCCACACCAACUGAGUCUGGUUUUUUGAGUGGCUGUUGGACUUUGAAUACUGUUUUUGGAAGACCAAAUGCAAAGCCAAGUGUAGUGACUUCGAGUGGGACCAUAGUUCUCAAUAUAUCCAUUGAUGAAAGGGAAUAUAUAUAUCUUUAUCAUCCUCCAGAAGGGUUAAUAUCCAUUCACAAUCCGUACCGCAUAGUCAAUCCUCACAUUGAAGGC